GGAUCAAUUUACUGGUCGUGCCUAUGGUACGUACUGGUUUUGUUGGUUCCUCCCUUCUGAGGAACCACGAUGUCAUUAAUUUGGUGUCGUGGGGAAUCAGGACUGUUACUUUGAAAAAAUUAGAGUGUUUAAAGCAAGCUUUGGCUUGAAUACAUUAGCAUGGAAUAAUGAAAUAGGACGGACGGUUCUAUUUUGUUGGUUAUGGGACCACCGUA
rnacentral:rRNA from 1 species